rnacentral:lncRNA from 1 species
GAGAAGAUAGCGUAAGUGACUGGAAGAGUUACAACCCGAAGUCUGAGGUAACAAAGCUGCGUUUCCAUUCACACCAUCAACAGUUAGUUAUGUAAAGGCAAUGUAGCAAUGGGGUUAAGUAUGCAGGCCCUGGAACCAGAUGACUUGCAAUCAUGCCCCAACUUUUCCACUUAACUGUGUGACUGUGGACGGAGUUUUACUCUUGCUGCCCAGGCUGGAGUGCAAUGGUAUGAUCCUGGCUCACCGCAACCUCCGCCUCCCAGGUUCAAGUGAUUCUCCUGCCUCAGCUUCCCAAGUAGCUGGGAUUACAGAUAAGAGAAAGGCCAGAUCCAACAAACAUUGACUGAGCCAUCACCAAAUGUGGGGCCCCGCGGCAGAGACUCGAAGGGUCGUUCUGCAUAAAAAAGUUGAUGACAGCAUAGCUUCGUUUAUACAGCUGGGACCCUCUGGAGUCUACAGAUGGAUUGUUAGAGAUGUGGCCUGCCAGCUGCCUUUGGAGAGUAGCCAAAUCUGCUGGGACCCAGCCACUUCAGGCACAGAUGUGCUUGCCUUUCCUGAAUGGAUGUCUUCCAGAAACGUUGGCUGUGAUGUCUGGUUUUUGUAUCUAUUGUUACUUCCAACGAAGACACAUAUACAAAAGACUCCUGGCUGCCUUUUAAAUGAAAACGUGCAGCAUAUUAGGAUCAAUCAUUUGUCUAAUGUUGUAGACCUGGGGUUUCACCAUGUUGGCCAGGCUCUUCUAGAACUCCUGACCUCAUGA